rnacentral:rRNA from 1 species
GUUUUUAGUUUGUUUUUAUGUUGUUUUUUGUAAAAUAUUUUGAUUUUUUUUUAGUUUCUUGUGGUAUCAAAAAUUUGUUUUUUGAACUGGAUUAGUACCCAGGUAAUCAAAAUUUAAUAAUUCGGGAGUAAAGUUUUGUUUAAACCGAAAAAAUAUUGACUGACUUUAGAUUUUUCUUUGGAACAUGUGAUUUGCUGGAGAGCCCUCUUUUUUGGUGAAUUUUGUUGGCACAUGUAUGAUUGUUUAGUUUUUAUUUUAUUUUGUAAUGCUUUGUUGUUUUGGCAUUAAAAACAGAUAUAUAUUUGGCUUAUGAAUUUAUGUUUCAUGUGUUACUAUUAUGAAUUUUUUUUGGAUUAGUUUUUUAUUUUUUUUUGAAAUUGGAAAAGAAAGUAAUUUUUUUUUAAUGUCUUAAUGAAUUU